rnacentral:rRNA from 1 species
AGCGAACGCUGGCGGCAGGCCUAACACAUGCAAGUCGAACGAACUCUUCGGAGUUAGUGGCGGACGGGUGAGUAACACGUGGGAACGUGCCUUUUGGUUCGGAAUAACUCAGGGAAACUUGUGCUAAUACCGAAUGUGCCCUGCGGGGGAAAGAUUUAUCGCCAUUGGAGAGGCCCGCGUCUGAUUAGCUAGUUGGUGAGGUAACGGCCCACCAAGGCGACGAUCAGUAGCUGGUCUGAGAGGAUGACCAGCCACACUGGGACUGAGACACGGCCCAGACUCCUACGGGAGGCAGCAGUGGGGAAUCUUGCGCAAUGGGCGAAAGCCUGACGCAGCCAUGCCGCGUGAAUGAUGAAGGUCUUAGGAUUGUAAAAUUCUUUAACCGGGGACGAUAAUGACGGUACCCGGAGAAGAAGCCCCGGCUAACUUCGUG